rnacentral:misc_RNA from 1 species
GAUGAAGAACGUAGCGAAAUGCGAUAAGUAAUGUGAAUUGCAGAAUUCAGUGAAUCAUCGAAUCUUUGAACGCACAUUGCGCCCGCCAGUAUUCUGGCGGGCAUGCCUGUUCGAGCGUCAUUUCAACCAUCAAGCCCCCGGCUUGUGUUGGGGACCUGCGGCUGCCGCAGGCCCUGAAAAGCAGUGGCGGGCUCGCUGUCACACCGAGCGUAGUAGCAUACAUCUCGCUCUGGGCGUGCUGCGGGUUCCGGCCGUUAAACCACCUUCAUAACCCGAGGUUGACCUCGGAUCAGGUAGGAAGACCCGCUGAACUUAAGCAUAUCAAUAAGCGGAGGA